rnacentral:rRNA from 1 species
CCUAGGGAGGCAGCAGUGGGGAAUAUUGCACAAUGGGCGCAAGCCUGAUGCAGCCAUGCCGCGUGUAUGAAGAAGGCCUUCGGGUUGUAAAGUACUUUCAGCGGGGAGGAAGGUGUUGUGGUUAAUAACCGCAGCAAUUGACGUUACCCGCAGAAGAAGCACCGGCUAACUCCGUGCCAGCAGCCGCGGUAA